rnacentral:rRNA from 1 species
GAACGCUGGCGGCGUGCUUAACACAUGCAAGUCGAGCGAGAAAUCUUUAUUUCAAGGCUUCGGCCGAGAAAUAUUGAUGGACAGCGGCAAACGGGUGAGUAACACGUAGAUAAUAUACCCUUUAGCGGGGGAUAACAUCGGGAAACUGGUGCUAAUACCGCAUACGAUCACAUUCUUAUUGAUUGUGAUGAAAGGACUUCGGUUCACUAGAGGAUUAGUCUGCGGUCCAUUAGCUUGUUGGUGGGGUAAAUGCCUACCAAGGCGAUGAUGGAUAGCCGACCUGAAAGGGUGAUCGGCCACACUGGGACUGAGACACGGCCCAGACUCCUACGGGAGGCAGCAGUGGGGAAUUUUGCGCAAUGGACGAAAGUCUGACGCAGCAACGCCGCGUGGAGGACGAAAUCCUUAGGGAUGUAAACUCCUUUCGGGAGGGAAGAAAUGCCCGCUUUAUGCGGGAGCUGACGGUACCUCCAAAAGAAGCACCGGCUAACUCCGUGCCAGCAGCCGGUAAUACGGAGGGUGCAAGCGUUGUCCGGAAUCACUAGGCGUAAAGCGUACGUAGGCGUCUCUGAUAGUCGGUUGUUAAAGCCUCCUGCUUAACGGGAGAAGGUCAAUCGAAACUUCAGAGAUUGAGAAUAGGAGAGGAGAGUGGAAUUCCUGGAGGAGCGGUGAAAUGCGUAGAUUUCAGGGAGAACACCAAUGGCGAAGGCAGCUCUCUGGCCUAUAUCUGACGCUGAGGUACGAAAGCGUGGGUAGCGAACGGGAUUAGAUACCCCGGUAGUCCACGCCGUAAAUGAUGUAUACUAGGUGAUGGGCGUUUUGGUUCAUCGCCGCAGCUAACGCGUUAAGUAUACCGCCUGGGGAGUACGGUCGCAAGACUGAAACUCAAGGGAAUUGACGGGGGCCCGCACAAGCGGUGGAGCAUGUGGUUUAAUUCGACUAUACACGAAGAACCUUACCUGGGCUUGACAUUCUGGUGACCGCUCUGGAAACAGAGUUUUUUCAAUUUAUUUUGGAACAGCAGAACAGGUGCUGCAUGGCUGUCGUCAGCUCGUGUCGUGAGAUGUUGGGUUGAGUCCCGCAACGAGCGCAACCCCUACUCUUAGUUACCAGCGGGUAAUGCCGGGGACUCUAAGAGAACUGCCCAGAACAACUGGGAGGAAGGUGGGGACGACGUCAAGUCAUCAUGGCCCUUAUGUCCAGGGCUACACACGUGCUACAAUGGCUGGUACAAAAGGUCGCGAUCCCGUGAGGGGGAGCAAAUCCAGAAAACCAGCCCCAGUUCGGAUUGCAGGCUGAAACCUGCCUGCAUGAAGUUGGAAUCGCUAGUAAUCGUAGGUCAGCAAUACUACGGUGAAUACGUUCCCGGGCCUUGUACACACCGCCCGUCACACCACGAAAGUCAAUUGUACCAGAAGUCAUUGGGCUUACCUUCUUCGGAAGGAGGCAGAUGCCGAAGGUGUGGUUGGUGAUUGGGGUGAAGUCGUAACAAGGUA